AGGUCUUGACAUCCCGACUGCUAUUUCUUAGAGAUAGAAAGUUACUUGGUACAUCGGUGACAGGUGGUGCAUGGUUGUCGUCAGCUCGUGUCGUGAGAUGUUGGGUUAAGUCCCGCAACGAGCGCAACCCCUAUUGUUAGUUUGCCAUCAUUCAGUUGGGCACUCUAGCGAGACUGCCGGUAAUAAACCGGAGGAAGGUGGGGAUGACGUCAAAUCAUCAUGCCCCUUAUGACCUGGGCUACACACGUGCUACAAUGGUUGGUACAACGAGUUGCGAGUCGGUGACGGCGAGCUAAUCUCUUAAAGCCAAUCUCAGUUCGGAUUGUAGGCUGCAACUCGCCUACAUGAAGUCGGAAUCGCUAGUAAUCGCGGAUCAGCACGCCGCGGUGAAUACGUUCCCGGGCCUU
rnacentral:rRNA from 1 species